rnacentral:rRNA from 1 species
GACGAACGCUGGCGGCGUGCUUAACACAUGCAAGUCGAACGAUGAAGCCGGAGCUUGCUCUGGUGAAUUAGUGGCGAACGGGUGAGUAACACGUGAGUAACCUGCCCUUGACUCUGGGAUAACUGCUAGAAAUGGUAGCUAAUACCGGAUACGACCCUCGGAGGCAUCUCCAGGGGGUGGAAAGAAUUUCGGUCAAGGAUGGACUCGCGGCCUAUCAGCUAGUUGGUGAGGUAAUGGCUCACCAAGGCGACGACGGGUAGCCGGCCUGAGAGGGUGACCGGCCACACUGGGACUGAGACACGGCCCAGACUCCUACGGGAGGCAGCAGUCGGGAAUAUUGCACAAUGGGCGCAAGCCUGAUGCAGCAACGCCGCGUGAGGGAUGACGGCCUUCGGGUUGUAAACCUCUUUUAGUAGGGAAGAAGCGAAAGUGACGGUACCUGCAAAAAAAGCACCGGCUAACUACGUGCCAGCAGCCGCCGUAAUAC